AAAGUUGCCCCGUCAGUCCAUUGGAACAUACUUAGGGCAAAAAAUAGCCCUAGGUCAACUCUAGGGCACCCAUUGGAAAUCGCCAUAAAUAAAAAUAAUUUGAGUACUUCUGCUAGCGAACAAAUUCCAAUUAAAUUUUUUAGGAUGGGAAAAAAACGAAAGUCUGAUGAAGAAUCAUUGAAAUUUCCAGAAAACGUUCUGCCUCUUUUUGAAACUGAAUCUUGCUACACCCAACAAUUAGAUGACCUAAUCUCUAAAAUGUAUACAUUUGUAGAUGUCGUAGACGAAGAUCUGGAAAGAAAGCCUAUAAUAGAACCACCUAAUGAAAUUGACCAUACCAUUUUACUCCAUUUCAAUUCAUCACGUGAAGAAAAAAGCAGUAUAAAGAGGAGACUUUUAAAAAGAAAAUCUGAGUUCUGUGAGAAUAUUUCUUAUGAAGAUAUGUGCAGUGUUGUAGUUACCGGUGAAUGGAUUCUGAAAAAACAAGGAAUUUAUGGUAAGGGCAGAGAAAGGCGAGGAGAAGAGAUCACAGGUGCUGUUCAUUCUCCACUUUUUCAGAGGCUUCCGAAUAAAAACAAUUAAUUUGGUUUUCUGUGUA